rnacentral:rRNA from 1 species
GAUGAACGCUGGCGGCGUGCCUAACACAUGCAAGUCGAACGGAGUCCAGCCUUUAAGACCUUCGGGUCAAAGAGGGGAAGACUGAGUGGCGGACGGGUGAGUAACACGUGGGCAACCUGGCUCAUAGAGGGGGAUAACAGAGAGAAAUUUCUGCUAAUACCGCAUAAGCACACACUGCCGCAUGGCAGAGGGUGAAAAGAGAAUCGCUAUGAGAUGGAGCCGCGUCUGAUUAGCCAGUUGGCAGGGUAAGAGCCUACCAAAGCGACGAUCAGUAGCCGAUCUGAGAGGAUGAACGGCCACAUUGGGACUGAGACACGGCCCAAACUCCUACGGGAGGCAGCAGUGGGGGAUAUUGCACAAUGGGGGGAACCCUGAUGCAGCGACGCCGCGUGAGUGAAGAAGUAUUUCGGUAUGUAAAGCUCUAUCAGCAGGGAAGAUAAUGACAGUACCUGAAUAAGAAGCCCCGGCUAACUACGUG